GUUCAGAGGUUAAAAGAAAGUUUCCAGCUCUUAAUAAAACAAGUCACUACAAAUCCAGUAAUCUGGAUUAUUUCCCCUUUAUUAUUUAGCUACUUGAUCUUGUAUCAGUGCCAGUUUCGUUGUACAGGUUACUCAGAUUACCGGUCAGUCAGAUCAUUUGAAUGUUAUGCUUUUCUCAGACCUGUGUUCCCUGCUGUUGCGUAAAAAUGUGUUUGCAUGUACAGUAACAGGUCUACAGAAGAGUCAUACUUACACAGACACAUUUCCAGCACAUCAGUCGAGACCUUUAUUGACUCACAUGAGGAAAUGAAAUGAAAAAAUAAAACACAAUAAAACGGUGGAGCACAAAAAUGAUCAAACGGUAAAUAUUAAAUAUGAUAAUUUAGUGCGUGUUAAGUAAAAUAGACUUUUUGAUAAUGUUAGCGUGUGGUUCAGGCUGAGCUGUGUGUGUUAGCUGUAACUCCUCUGGGUAGUUGAAGGGUUUGUGACGACAUGUACUUUAAAUGUGGGUCUAAAACUCAGCAUGUCGGCAAGGUAAGUAAACGCCUCCGACUGUGCUGUUCCUGUGUUGUAGGAAACCCUGUCGCUCUGAUCAUCUUCAGUUCACACAGUGCCGUUAUCCUGACCGAUGAAGUCCAGCAGUCCAACAGUCUCGGAAAUUGUGUUGGAUAUUUUCUUUCAUUUCAUAGACUAAAUGAUUAACCAGUUAACUGACCAAUUACUGAUGAUGAAAAUAAUCAUAAGUUGCAGCCAUAACUCUUACAGAUUGUUCUUAUUCUUGGCAGUAAUUAUUUGCUUGGUGGUUAUUUUAUGUACAGGCAGAUCUCUGAAUUCAGAAAAAAGAUUUAUUUGGCUCGGUUCACUUACGUCAAAUUACUUAUUAUUAUUUCUCACUCUUCUCUAGUGGUAUCUUGACACUACUUUUGGUUUAUUUAAGAUGAAUGGAAUUUAAUUUGCUCUAAAAAUGGCGAAAAACAUUAAACUGCAGCAUCACUUUCUAGAAACAAUGUUCACAUUAUUCAGGAUCAUCCACAAAAUAUGCUGUCAGUCGUUUUUACAGGGACUAUUUCUUCUAUAGAAAGUAGUUCCAAUGAAGACCGUUUACAGUUACACCGCUGUCCUCUAUGUCAUCAUCAAACAUCAAACAGAUGAGGACACAGUUUUACUGAGUUUUACUGAGAGAAAGCCAAAAGGCAAGUUGCAGCUGGUUCUUCAGUAAAACCACAUUUGGUGACUGUGCCAGAUGCUCCUGUGAGUAAUCCAGUUGCACAUCCCAGCCGGGCAGUUUCACCACGAACUGUGGUCUAAUGUCCAAAUUUAAAGAGUACAAAUGUUUUUGUUGUUGUAAAUAUAAUUCUUCCAAACAUAAAUGUAUAAAUAUCUUAAAUAAAUAAUAAAUGAACAUGUUUUUUUUCCCCUCCAGGUGUCUAAAGUGGCUGCACUGUUAAGGAAGGUUCUGGAGAUCAUCAGGUCCAGUCAUGUGUGCGGGGAGUCCCAGCUGACCUGGGUUCAGUUCUUAGAGGGAGCCGUCGAUCACAACCUGCAAAAAGCCAAAGACCUUAUACAGCAGGACAGCUAGUGUGUGUGUGAGUGUGUGUGGUUUUAUGUGCCAGUGUGUGAAAUGAAUGCCUAGAGUGGUGUGUGAGUGUGAGAGAUUGAGUACAUUGUUUGUGUUUACAAGCACAUGCAUGUACAACAUAUUAGAAAUAAAGGGAGCGACUCGUGUCCUCGCAUAAGCUCUGCUGUGGAAAGAAGCUUCAUUAUGUAACCCUGAAUACCCCUCGCAGGUCAAUAAUCUCGUCUACACAGUCUAAUCUGCAUCUGACUGUUUGCCAAACACAAAAACAACCUGCUCCAGGACCAGUUGUGUUACAGUUUAACGACUGGGUUAAUUAAAAUAACAAGCACAUCUCUUUAAUAGCCUUUAAUUGAUGAGCCUUCAAGGUUAAGAAGACAGAAAUUGUGGUUUUGCAGCUUUGUAUGUGCCGCCUGAAGGUUUCGCACAUAGAGAAGUUCAGGUUGGCAAAUAUUGAAGGUCCAGUAUGGAGGAUUUAGUGGCAUCUAGCUGUGUAGGUACAGAUUGAAACUCCCCUAGUCUUAUUUGCAGGUCAUUAUACACUAAUGAAAACAUACCUUUGAAUUUUAUACUACAUUUACAGUAUACAGUGUUGGCUGACUUUACUGUGAAUCAGAAUUAAGUCUUCACAUAAGAGGAAUUUGCCAUAUUGUACAUUGGUGACAACUUGGAGUUACACGUGACAUCAACAUCAACAUCAAGUGUGGUUUAUUUCAUGAGUUUGAACUACAGACCUGAGACAUAAACUAGAGACAACAUCAAUUCACACUGAAGAACACAAGCGUGUAAAGAGAACUGCGAUGUUUGCAGCCACAGAGCAGCACAAAGAAAUUAUAGCAUGAACCUUUGGCAGGAUUUCUAAAAUUCCUCUGAAUGUAAUGCAAUCCAAAAUUACAAACUACGGCAUCAGUGGUACCUCAAUGGUUUAUUUGCUGACGACCUUUCGUUAUGAACUGGAAGGAAUUCAACCUCAUUUUUAUAUAUAUUUUUAUUAGUGUUUAAUCACCUGAAAAUAAGAAUGUUUUGUUUCCUUAGAAUAAGCUGCUUUUAUCUACAGGCAACAUACACAGCCACUGUAGUUUCUCCUCCAUGCUUAGAAAGCUGAGCUGUACUCAUAAGGUUGGAAUCUGCAGCUUCACUGGUAGAUGUCACUGAAUAUUACACACUUGUAAACAACAGACAUUAUAUACAGAAUCUAUUCUGAAUAGAUUAUUAUAAAUAAUUAUAAUUAUAACUGAGAGGAGAACUGAAUGAUACAGCAAUAAAAUGAUGUGUAAAAAGAAAA